UGGGAAUUUGGACAAUGGGCGAAGCCUGAUCCAGCAAUGCCGCGUGUGUGAAGAAGGCCUUCGGGUUGUAAAGCACUUUUGUCCGGAAAGAAAUCCUUGGCUCUAAUACAGUCGGGGGAUGACGGUACCGGAAGAAUAAGCACCGGCUAACUACGUGCCAGCAGCCGCGGUAAUACGUAGGGUGCAAGCGUUAAUCGGAAUUACUGGGCGUAAAGCGUGCGCAGGCGGUUUGCUAAGACCGAUGUGAAAUCCCCGGGCUCAACCUGGGAACUGCAUUGGUGACUGGCAGGCUAGAGUAUGGCAGAGGGGGGUAGAAUUCCACGUGUAGCAGUGAAAUGCGUAGAGAUGUGGAGGAAUACCGAUGGCGAAGGCAGCCCCUGGCAAUACUGACGCUCAUGCACGAAAGCGUGGGGAGCAAACAGGAUUAGAUACCCUGGUAGUCCACGCCCUAAAACGAUGUCAACUAGUUGUUGGGGAUUCAUUCCUUAGUAACGUAGCUAACGCGUGAAGUUGACCGCCUGGGGAGUACGGUCGCAAGAUUAAAACUCAAAUGAAUUGACGGGGUCAUAGCUGUUUCCU
rnacentral:rRNA from 1 species